GAUGAACGCUGGCGGCGUGCUUAACACACGCAAGUCGAACGAAUCUUGGAGAGCUUGCUCUCCUUGGUUAGUGGCGGACGGGUGAGUAACGCGGGGGUAACCUGCCCUAUAGAGGGGGAUAACGUUUGGAAACGAACGCUAAUACUGCAUAAUAAAGGAGAGCUGCAUGGCUUUUCUAUCAAAGCUUUAUCGCUAUAGGAUGGACCCGCGUUGGACUAGCUAGUUGGUGAGCUAACAGCCCACCAAGGCGACGAUCCAUAGCCGGCCUGAGAGGGUGAACGGCCACAUUGGGACGGAGACACGGCCCAAACUCCUACGGGAGGCAGCAGUGGGGAAUAUUGCACAAUGGGCGAAAGCCUGAUGCAGCGACGCCGCGUGAAGGAUGAAGGUCUUCGGAUCGUAAACUUCUAUCAGCAGGGAAGAAUAAAGGACGGUACCUGACUAAGAAGCCCCGGCUAACUACGUGCCAGCAGCCGCCGCGG
rnacentral:rRNA from 1 species